UACGUAGGGUGCAAGCGUUAAUCGGAAUUACUGGGCGUAAAGCGUGCGCAGGCGGUUUUGUAAGUCUGACGUGAAAUCCCCGGGCUCAACCUGGGAAUUGCGUUGGAGACUGCAAGGCUGGAGUCUGGCAGAGGGGGGUAGAAUUCCACGUGUAGCAGUGAAAUGCGUAGAGAGUGUGGAGGAACACCGAUGGCGAAGGCAGCCCCUGGG
rnacentral:rRNA from 1 species